GCAUUCGAAUCGGAUCGAAUCGGAUGGUAUCUUAUGGGAUCUGCGCUCUCCGAGGCGAGAGAAAUUCUCAGAUGCCCAAGUAUCUGUAUCCGACAGUACGCUUUCGAGCGGAAGACACUGCGCCGGCGCCUGUAGCUCGUGUCAGAGAUGAGAUGUGAACACUUGUUUUCCAUAUCGUGACUCCAACUAUUCCAUUCUUCUGUCAUCUAUUGGCCCCUAUUGGCAUUGACGUCAUAGUUUUUGGGGUCGCGACGAAGAAAGAAAAGAAAUGACACCUCUCGUUGUUUGUUUCUUCCCGCUUCUGCUGGUUGUAUUACACAGAUUUAUUAGAAACUAUUCGAGAGAAUUGGCAUUCAACAAAACGACCGGGGGAAAAUAGAAAAUGUUUUCGUUCCGUUCCCCUUGGCACUUGUUGCAGUUAAUACUUAAACAUUGUGCGGUUCGUGCCCUCGUCCAUUCAUUGCUGAAUUUUCGCGAAAAUACGAAAAUGCGAAAAUCGUUUUCGGCGAUACAAAAACAAUAACAAAAGAGCUAUUAUGCUGGCAUAAUCUGUUUAAUAUCAAUUGGAGCUGUGUUAUUUUUCCUUUUUUUCUAUCUGCACGCACGCCAUUUAGGCACUGGAAAAAA